CUGAUCGAGACGUUGGGCCAACGCCGGUGCAGCGAGCCCGUUUCCGGGAACAAGUUUCCCGAAAGCGUCGAAGAGUCAG
rfam:Methanoculleus bourgensis MS2T complete genome